GCGAAAGCAUUCAUCAAUUACACUCUUUUUAAUCAAGAACGAAAGUUGGGGGAUUAAAGACGAUCAGAUACCGUUGUAGUCUCAACCAUAAACGAUGAUAGCUCGGGAUGCUUCAUAACUUAUGAAUAUUCAUCUGAGGCGGGUCUUGGUGGCAACAUCAAGGCACGCCUCACCACGAAGUGAAACGCACCGUGUGGGAAACCAAAGCUACCUUCGUGGAGUGUAUGUUAGCAAUAAUGAAAUUUGAAAGAAUUGACGGAAGUAGCACCACAAGGAGUGGAUUGUGCGGCUUAAUUUGACUCAACGCGGGAAACUUUACCACUGCCGAACUGAAUGAGGAUAGACUGGUUACAGACCCUUCUAAAUUUUCAGCUGCUUGAUAUGUAGUGCAUGGCCUUUGGGAAGUGAGUGGAUUG
rnacentral:rRNA from 1 species